AGAGGAUUUGGCUCUGUCACACCAUUCACUGCCUGCCCUUCUUCCCAGCGCUUCCAAGAUCUGGUUGUAUUAAACACGAGAAUGAAGAGAGGAAAACACCUUCGCCCACGGUGUGCUCUGGGGACAUCUCCAGGUGUGGGUGGUGGCGUCAGCCACAGGACAGGGAUCCAUAUUACUAAUGAAUGAGGGCAGCCUCCAGCCAAUAGCCAGCAGGGAACUGAGGCCCUCAGUCCAGCAACCCUCAAGGAACUGAAAUGCUGCUAACGACCACAUGGAUGUAGAAGCAGAUCCUUCCCCAAUCAAGCCUUGAGAUGAGACUGCAGCCCCAGACAACACCUCCUGAGAGACUCUGAAACAGAGAGCCUGGCUAAGCCCUGCCCAUAUUCCUAACUCACAGAAACUGUGAGAUAAUACAUAUGUGCCAUUUUAAGCUGUAA
rnacentral:lncRNA from 1 species